rnacentral:rRNA from 1 species
UACAGAGGUCCCAAGCGUUGUUCGGAUUCACUGGGCGUAAAGGGUGCGUAGGCGGUCGGGUAAGUCUGAUGUGAAAUCUCCAAGCCUAACUUGGAACUGCAUUGGAUACUAUCCGGCUAGAGGAAUGGAGGGGAGACUGGAAGUACUUGGUGUAGCAGUGAAAUGCGUAGAUAUCAAGUGGAACACCAGUGGCGAAGGCGAGUCUCUGGACAUUUCCUGACGCUGAGGCACGAAAGCCAGGGGAGCAAACGGG